GUUGCUUGGGGCCUUUCACUAUCAGGUUGUUCGGCUGCCUGCUCUGUUGAUGGCUGUGAUGUGGAGGGUACUAGGGCAAGCUCUGAUGUAGCAAUUAAUGGCUGCUGUACUGAUGUUGAUGGUACAAACGCACUUGAUACCACAGGGAGGCUGGUCACUGUCAGACUGACCAACUGGUGCUGGACCCCCGCCUGUCUUGCAGCUCUCACGCCGCACAUCAAUGGCUUUCUUCUUCACCUGGGAUCUGGAAAAUGCCAUCAUUUAUACUAUAAUGCAAAUACAGCAUAAAAUUAGUUAUCAA